rnacentral:rRNA from 1 species
UACGUAGGGUGCGAGCGUUAAUCGGAAUUACUGGGCGUAAAGCGUGCGCAGGCGGUGCGCCAAGCUCGAUGUGAAAGCCCCGGGCUUAACCUGGGAAUUGCAUUGAGGACUGGCGUGCUCGAGUGCGGCAGAGGGGGGUGGAAUUCCACGUGUAGCAGUGAAAUGCGUAGAGAUGUGGAGGAACACCGAUGGCGAAGGCAGCCUCCUGGGAUAACACUGACGCUCAGGCACGAAAGCGUGGGGAGCAAACAGG